rnacentral:rRNA from 1 species
UACGUAGGGUGCAAGCGUUGUCCGGAAUUAUUGGGCGUAAAGAGCUCGUAGGCGGUCUGUCGCGUCUGGUGUGAAAAUCCAGGGCUUAACCCUGGACCUGCAUCGGGUACGGGCAGACUAGAGUGCGGUAGGGGGAGAUCGGAAUUCCUGGUGUAGCGGUGAAAUGCGCAGAUAUCAGGAGGAACACCGGUGGCGAAGGCGGAUCUCUGGGCCGUAACUGACGCUGAGGAGCGAAAGCGUGGGGAGCAAACAGG